AUGGAAGCAGCAACACAAUUUUGUUGGUUUAUGUUUUUUUUUUUGGUGACUGUUGAGACACUUGAUUUCUUUAUUAAACAUCCAAGAGCGGGUUCGGAUGGAAGGGACGAGGGACGCACACGCGCGCGUAAAGAUAAGGAAAAAAAAAAAAAACAACACACAAACAAUCCUGGGAAGGUAGUGGGGUCCUCUUUCGCUCCUUCCUUCUCCUCCUGGCCUCCUGCACCUCCACCUCCUCGUCUUCCUCUUCCUCGCCGGGCUCGAUGGCGGAUUCGCGCCGGGGGCAGAGAGAUCUCUCACUGUCGGGUUGUGGCUGCUGUCAGAUCCCCGUCUCUGAGUGAUAUGCGAGAGGACAGGAGCGGGUUUGGGAAAGACAGAAAAUCUGGAAUUCACUCGCACACACUCACACACGCACACUCACACACACACACACACACACACACACUCACACUCGCUCCCUCUCACACACACACACACACACUCACACCCCCCACAGAUGCACACACACACACACACACACACCACGCGCACGCACACACAUACACACACACUCUCACACACACACAAGACAGGGCGAGGCGAUGCCAGCAAACAUCGAUCCCGCUGAACAAACUGAACAUUAACAAACUCCUCCUCCUCUCCCCGCGACCUGAUGACAGGGAGAAAUUUACUCCCCAGCCGCAGAGCGCCAGGCAGAGGGAGUCUAUUAAAGGGACAGUGUCCCGCCGGGAGCGGGGCGGGGCGGGGACCCCGGCGUGCCGCCUGCCCUGCCGUGCGCCCCGCUCGCUGGCGCUGCGACGCGCCCCCCGGGCCGCGGGGACACCCCUCGGAGGAGCGCUGAGAAAGGACGCGCUGGGGGCAGGGGGAUGGAAGGAGGAGCCCCGGGCGCCAGGUCACCUGUCGGAAGUUUGUGACGGGCAGCUGUACAGACAGCCAUAAAGCAGCACUUACGGCCAAAGUCAUCACAUUCUGGGAGCCUCUGUGUUUCAGGCGUACAUCAUUUUCUUCCUUUUCUCUGGGUUCCAGUCACUCAGCACACAGAUGGAAUUCAGCAUAGAUGGCUUAAUUCCUUCUAACAGCUCCCUAUAGGCUCUGAGCUAAGGGCUUCCCUGGUAGCUCAGCUCGUAAGGAAUCUGCCUGCAAUGCCAGAGACUCUGGUUCGAUUCCUGGUUUGGGAAGAUCCCCUGGAGAAGGGAUGGGCUACCCACUCCAGUGUUCAUAGACUAACUGGUGGCUCAGCUGGUAAAGGAUCCGUCCACAACGCGGGAGACCUGGAUUUGAUCCUUGGGAUGGAAAGAUCCCCUGAAGGCGGGCAUGGCAACCCACUCCAGUAUUCUUGCCUGGAGAAUCCCAUGGACAGAGGAGCCUGGUGGACUAUAGUCCACGGGGUCACAAAGAGCUGGACACGACUGAGUGACGAAGCACAGCACAGCAGGCUCUGAGAUAAAAGUCAGAGGACCGCAAGACCCAAAAGGCCAGUAGGAUAAUAUGGAGUACUGAGUACUCACUUUAGUCCAGGCCUAAGACUCGGCUGAGGCAAGCAAGUUCACCAUCCUAAACGGAGCUCCUCAUUCAAACUUUACGAUUGUGCGUGGCAGCAAUGCUCAUUCGCUCAACUUUGCUAAUGCAGUAACAGAGAUAUAGCAAAACCGUGUUGCUACACGUUUACAGGUUAGGAAGUAGCAUCGGCAGGAUUCUAACCCAGGCAAAAUCACAUGUGGAAUCUCUGUGCAAAGAGCUUUAGACUUCAUCGUGCUCCACCUGUGUCAACUCCUAUAGCAUUUGAAGCGAUAAUCUUACUCUUCUUUCUGCUUCCUUCAGAACUCCGGAAAAUGCCCUGCAUGGAGGUGAGUUUCUUGAAAUAAAAUUCUUCAACCGUGGACGCGUUACAAACACUUGGAGAAAAUUUUAAGAGCUCAUAUUCAUAGAAUUUUUUGGAAAAAGAGGCUUUAAAAAUUUCCCGAUCUUAUUCUAUCGAUCCUUACAGGUCAGUGGGCAGACACGUGGACUCCUCUUUGGAUGUGGAUUCCCAGGGACCACUUGGCGUUCUUGGUACCAGGAAUCGGAACCACCAGUCUGGCUGUCACAGCCAAGUUUGGCCAGCCUGGCUUUAGCUGUGAUUCUGUUUUAGACACACUUCCAUGUCAAACUGUCCAAGGAAUUAUGCCAUUUGCUAGGACCCAGCCCCCAGCCUCAUAGAGCAGAGUUCAGAGAAGGGAUUUGGAACUGAGAAACAAUAGCUUAAUAACUGGCACGCUCGUAACUUAAUCCUGGGAGUGGGUUGCAAUCCACAGAGAUGGGUCCUGGGCAGCCAUGUCCGUAUUCUGUGUGUUUGUCCCCCACUGGGCUGAGAACAUCUGGCUCAUGGGAGACCCUCGCAUCUCGUUUCUCCAGCACUGGUGUUGAGACGGCAGAUUAGAUCCUGCCACUGAAUCCAAAUCAUUCAACAUCUGGGACAGCUGUUUUCCACCAAACAGAUUAAGUGCAGAGGAAAAGCUACUCUCUGCAGCGAUCAUAGUCCGGGUAGGGAAAGCAAGGUAGAAAUGAGAAGGAAGAAUUGAGAAAGAGAGAGAGAGGGAAUCAGACGGCUGUCUAGGUCUUGACUUCAGGCUCUUUUCCCAGAGCUGGCUGCAUCCUCGUUUCGUGUGUUCCCUGAGACACCCCCACCCUUAGAAAACGACCUGGACAUUUUGCACCAGCCAAAGAAGUUGCUUUCUGCCAUCCACACCCUAAAAGCGCAGAAUCAUAGGACGACCAAAUCUUGCUACUUCUCAGAACAAAAUUUAAAUUCUUUUUGAGGCAAUGUGGCUUACAAAUAACACAUAAAUGAUUUACUGGUCAAAAACAUGGUUGGCCAACUUCCUUGGAAAAAAGACAAGAAAUGGGCAGGGCUAUUUGUUCCUUGUUUCAGCAACAGGUGACAGUAAGGAUUUCUGAAUUGUCUCCCAGCUCUAAUUUCCUUAAAAAAUUUUUUUUUCCUUACAACUUAUAAUUGGUAAUUAAACAAAAAUAACAGUAGUGUUCAGGAAAAUGAGAGGAGGGAGAAAGUCAGAAUUCAGGAGGAAAACUAGUUGUAAGUCAAGAAGGUACAUGGCCAUUUUGAGGAGAAUAAGACACACUUCAGGAAACGUGUUCCCUUGGACAGGACACAGGACAGGUGCGUCCAGUGAUGGCCUGACCCAAAAGCUAAAGUGAGGGGGGAGCUGCGGAGGAGCAGGAGGAGAGGGCAUUCCAUGGUUACCAGGGAGAAACUUAACUCGCGUGAGCUUAAUAAAGCAGUUUCAAAAGGUUUCGGUUUUUUGUUUGCUUCCCACCUGGGUCUGGGCAGAGCGCAGCCAGUCACAUUUCAGGCUCGCUGGAUCCGGGAAGUUGAGUAACGCCACCAGGACUCAUUAUCUGUGCCUCUGAGUUCCACUUGUGUCUGCACUGGCUUCAUUCCCAAGCAGAUUAUUUUUUAAUAUAAGAUGCUGCCAGAUUUAACAACUAAGAAUAUAAGACACCUAGAUUCAUUUGAACUUCAGAUAAAUAAACGACAAAUAUAUUUUUUGAGAUUAAGUAUAUCCCAUGCAAUAUUUGGGAUACACUUACACUGUAAAGUUAUUCAUUAUUUGAAUUUUACGGGGGAAUCAGGUAUUUUACUGGGGCUUCCCAGGUGGUACUAGUGGUAAAGAAGCUGCCUGCUAGAGCUGGUGACAUAAGAGACCUGGGUUCUAUCCCUGGAUCGGGAGGAUCCCUUGGAGAAGCACGUGGUAACCCACUCCAGUAUUUUAUUGGCCCACCCUCCUCACAUGAGGUGGCAAAGAUGACUGCCAAUACUUCUAGACCUUAUAUUCUAUCUUCUAUUAUGUGUCCCAUUGGAACAAUCCAUGAACUGAUCACUGUGGCUUAAGAAAUGCAAUAAUCUGAUGAGCCAGAAGACAGAAAAGAUGUGGGAACAUAAUAGCUGUCCAUGAAAAAAAAAACAACACAGACUUACAAAUGGUUGGAGUGGAAUAUAGAAACAAUUUGAGUUCAAGCUCCUCAUUUAGCAGAUACAACAGUGAAGCCUGGAGGCGGCUUUACUUCCCCAGACAGCAGUCGUGGGGGAAUCCAGGCUGGAACAUCCGCCUGCCACCUCCUUACCACCCAGGCUCUUCCCACGCACCCUCGUGGCCACCGCCAUCCAGAUAUCUACUGGAUAAGUCGGUUAGCACCCACAAGGGCUUCCUCUCUCUCUUCUCUGUAUACAAAGUGAACAGGUAAAAAGGAAAUGCUUGUCAAAACAAAUCUCUAUUUGGUUUUCUCCAUCUACGGGACAAUUUCUGUAACGUGUCAAUCACUUUGUUGCAAAAUAGCCCUUCCAACGCACAAUCCACAUUUUCUGAUGACACCAGCCUGUCAGUCACUCACUACAUCAAAGCCAGAUUUCAUGCCAGCGAAGACCAGCUUGUCAAU
rnacentral:lncRNA from 1 species